rnacentral:rRNA from 1 species
UGCCAGCAGCCGCGGUAAUACGUAGGGGGCGAGCGUUGUCCGGAUUUAUUGGGCGUAAAGAGCUCGUAGGCGGCUCAGCAAGUCGGCCGUGAAAGCCUGAGGCUCAACCUCAGGACGCCGGUCGAAACUGCUGUGGCUAGGGUCCGGUAGAGGAGAGUGGAAUUCCCGGUGUAGCGGUGAAAUGCGCAGAUAUCGGGAGGAACACCAGUAGCGAAGGCGGCUCUCUGGGCCGGUACCGACGCUGAGGAGCGAAAGCGUGGGGAGCGAACAGGAUUAGAUA